ensembl:snRNA U6 U6 spliceosomal RNA
GUGCUCGCUUUGGCAGCACAUAUACUAAAGUUGGAAUAAUACAGAGUAGAUUAGCAUGGUCCCUACACAAGGAAGACAGGCAAAUUCAUGAGGUGUUCCAUAUUUAG